UGAAUUACCGGAAUUGAAACAGGGUCAUAUGUGCUCCUGACUACAGGAUUCUAAGUAAUUGAACCCCUAAGAAUAAUCAGCAUGUGACAAACAUCUGCAUGUAAUUGUCACAAGGCAGCUACUGCAUGGCUGAAGAACAGUUUCCGGUAAUCUAUUCCAGCACAAAUGAUCCUGAUAUGUUUUAAGUGAAGUAAUCACGGCACAACAGAUAUCUGAUGCUGUUAACAAGUGUAUAUUGGAAUUUGAAUUCCUUGCGAUUGAAUUGUGAGUAAAGAUCCAGCAGGUUUAAUCGACAGUUUGAGCUUGGACUAAUAUUUCAAGUUUUACAAAAUCUUAUUUUUAGGACCGAAAACUUAUUGAAACGUAUAAGCCAUCUGAAUAUGUAUUGAAAGCGAAAGAAAUGGUUAUGAUCUUUGCAUAUUCUACAGAAGUAGUUUUGGAGCGACAAGUGUCGGAAUUAGGCUGAUUUCGCAUGAACAUUUGCACACACAUUUUAACAAAUGAACAGAAAGAACAAAUGUUAAUUUGAAUGAUUUUUUUGUAGUGAUGGUAGCAAGAGCUUUGAUAAUAUCACUUCAAACAAUUUUACUUAUGCCAAGAAGAUUCUCGAUUUCUUAAUUUUUACUCAAGUGAGAUAAAAUGCAUCAAUCAAAACCAAGACAAAAUCGCCUGCAUUUGAUACUAGAGCAGCGAGCUGUGCAGAGAAUCUGUCGUCUAUUUGAACAAAAUUUUAAAAUGGAAUGAACUCCUUUUCCUCUCCAGCAACAACUUCUUUCUAUAUGUAGAAAGUAUCUGGAUGAUCAGGAAAGAACAUCACCAAUGCGAUAUUGGUAUUCAUAGAUCAGACAAUUAACGACAAUGUCGUUUUCCUGGUUUAAGAACAUGCCGUCCCAUCGAUAAAACGCCUUUCAAGAUUCCAAACACUCUUGCAAUAGACAACAAUUCUACCUGAUGCGGGGAGGAUAUUCCCUUAAGAUGAGUUCGAAGUACAUGGAAUUCAAGGAGAUGGUCAGUUCCUGAAUCGUAACAAUAAAACUAGCUCAAGGUGACACCCGAUGUUGACAUGUUUUGACCGAGGUGAUCAUGCCACACCAUACAGCAUCUGAAGCUUCUAUUAAGCAUAAAUUGGAAUUCGGAGUCUUUGGAGUUAAUUAUGUUCGGAAAAACAACCUAUGCAGUUGGUUUGUAAAAUUAUGAAUAUGUAUAUUGCCAAAAAUAAUUUACUUAAUGUAUAUUUGCUAUCAAAAGCUAUAUCUGUAUAUUGGAAAUGUUCUUUCAAAUGUAAUGGCCAUUAUUUGAGCAUAUCAAAACAUCUUUGAAAUGUCUCGUAACAUUUUAAGAACAAGAUAGUAAAUGUUUUUAUAUUUUCGAAAUUUGGUGAAGCUUGAAGUGCAUGGAAUAUCAUCCAAAACAAGCGUUUGACAUAUCAAUCGAUAUUUCAUCUUAAAGUUGUGUAGAAAGUUUCGUAUACCUACUUAAAGCGACUUUCAAAUAUUGCUCUGCAUUCAUUUCCUUCAAGAGUCAUGCUUGAUUUCUACUUCUUUC